rnacentral:lncRNA from 1 species
AUGAUUGUGUUUGUUCAUCUGAUUUCCAAGGAGGUGUGUUGUGUUAUCCUUUUUUUGCACAAAUAUAUAAUUUCUUGCCUGUGUGUGACUAUUACAGAUUUAUGUUAUCUGCAGACAUCGGAUUUCAGGAAUAAUCACCUUGAGGUUCCAGAGAAUUACACACAGAUGCUAUUCAGAUGGAUCUUUUAUCAUGUCGAGUUACCCAGAGAUGUACCAGUGACCCUGAAAUGUGAGCAAGAUCACGUGACCUCAGAACAUCUUAUCGUCAUGUGUAAAGAUGGGGUUGUGGAACUGCCAAAGUGCCGUCCAGGUGAUCCUCGAACCCCUUUAAAUUUAUGGUUCUAUUACCAAGAAUACAAGGAAUCUUGGAGGAAGUGGACAUUUGUACCAUCAUGCCUGUGCCAUACCCCUAUCACUUCCAGAAUUUCCACCCACUGUGGGUAACCCCAAACAGGAAUUUUGAUCAGUGUAAUGGCACACAACAGAAUACUGAUUUUAAAACACAACUCUGGGAUCUUUAGUCUCCACAACCUAAAUGCCAGCAUGAGGGCCUACUUGUGGUCAUCCAUUUUUUUUACUUUGGAAAACCUUCUUCUUCUUCUUGUGGCUGUUUCCGUAAGGGGUUGCCACAGCGGAUCAUCUGUCUUCAUUUCGCUCUGUCCUCCACAUCUUCCAUUGCCACACCAACCACCCGCAUGUCCGCCCUCACCACAUCUAUAAACCUCUUCUUUCGCCUUCCUAUUCUCCUACAUAGCGGCUCCAUCCUCAGCAUCCUUCUCCCGAUAUACCCCGCAUCCCUCCUGUGCACAUGUCCAAACCAUCUCAAUCUCGCCUCUCUCACUUUGUCUCCAAAUCCCCCCACCUGCGCUGUCUGCCCCCCCCCCCCCCCCCCCCCCCCCCCCCCCCCCCCCCCCCCCCCCCCCCCCCCCCCCCCCCCCCCCCCCCCCCUCUGCCACCUCCAGCUCCGCUUCCUGUCUUUUUGUCAGCGCCACCACCUCCAAACCAUACAACAUAGCUGGUCUCACUACCAUCUUGUAUACUUUCCGUUUCACUCUUGCAGAUACCCUUCUAUCACAAAUGACUCCUGAAACUCUUCUCCACCCACUCCAUCCUGCCUGCACUCUCUUUUUCAUUUCUCUACCACACUCUCCAUUACUUUGGACAGUUGAUCCCAAGUAUUUAAACCCAUUCACCUUCACCACCUCAACUCCUUGCAACCCCACCAUUCCACCACCCUCCCUCUCAUUUACGCACAUGUACUCUGUCUUACUCCUACUGUCUUUCAUUCCCGUUCUCUCCAGUGCGUACCUCCACCUCUCGGGGCUCACCUCAGCCUGCUCCCUACUCUCACUACAGAUCAUGAUGUCAUCCGCGAACAUCAUAGUCCAUGAAGACUCCUGUCUAAUCUCGUCUGUCAACCUGUCCAUCACCAUUGCAAACAGGAAAGGGCUCAAAGCUGAUCCUUGAUGCAAUUUUCUUUUUACUUUGGAAAAUAUGGGGGGAAUUUUGAUUUCCAACUCUCCCCAUCACUUCAAUGUACCUUAUACCCAGGGAUCAAAACCCCACAAAUCCCCUUUUCUCCAAAAGCACACAAUUUAAUGGCACUCUCCAUUCAAGAGCAUGCUCUGCAACAUACUAAAAUAUGGCAAUUCGAUAAUAUAUAUACCCCCCCCCCCC